rnacentral:rRNA from 1 species
UACGGAGGAUCCAAGCGUUAUCCGGAUUUAUUGGGUUUAAAGGGUGCGUAGGCGGAUUGAUAAGUUAGAGGUGAAAUGUCCGAGCUUAACUCGGGAACUGCCUCUAAUACUGUUGAUCUAGAGAGUAGAAGCGGUAGGCGGAAUGUAUGGUGUAGCGGUGAAAUGCUUAGAGAUCAUACAGAACACCGAUUGCGAAGGCAGCUUACCAAUCUAUAUCUGACGUUAAGGCACGAAAGCGUGGGGAGCAAACAGG